rnacentral:rRNA from 1 species
UACGUAGGGUGCAAGCGUUGUCCGGAAUUAUUGGGCGUAAAGAGCUCGUAGGCGGUCUGUCGCGUCGGCUGUGAAAACUCGGGGCUCAACCCCGAGCCUGCAGUCGAUACGGGCAGACUAGAGUGCUGUAGGGGAGACUGGAAUUCCUGGUGUAGCGGUGAAAUGCGCAGAUAUCGAGGAGGAACACCGGUGGCGAAGGCGGGUCUCUGGGCCGUAACUGACGCUGAGACACGAAAGCGUGGGUAGCAAACAGG